UUUCCUACGGGGCGCAGCAGUAGGGAAUCUUCGGCAAUGGACGAAAGUCUGACCGAGCAACGCCGCGUGAGUGAAGAAGGUUUUCGGAUCGUAAAACUCUGUUGUUAGAGAAGAACGUUGCAUAGAGUGGAAAAUUAUGCAAGUGACGGUAUCUAACCAGAAAGGGACGGCUAACUACGUGCCAGCAGCCGCGGUAAUACGUAGGUCCCGAGCGUUGUCCGGAUUUAUUGGGCGUAAAGCGAGCGCAGGUGGUUUAAUAAGUCUGAUGUAAAAGGCAGUGGCUCAACCAUUGUGUGCAUUGGAAA
rnacentral:rRNA from 1 species